rnacentral:rRNA from 1 species
GACGAACGCUGGCGGCGUGCUUAACACAUGCAAGUCGAACGAUGAAGCCGGAGCUUGCUCUGGUGAAUUAGUGGCGAACGGGUGAGUAACACGUGAGUAACCUGCCCUUGACUCUGGGAUAACUGCUAGAAAUGGUAGCUAAUACCGGAUACGACCCUCGGAGGCAUCUCCAGGGGGUGGAAAGAAUUUCGGUCAAGGAUGGACUCGCGGCCUAUCAGCUAGUUGGUGAGGUAAUGGCUCACCAAGGCGACGACGGGUAGCCGGCCUGAGAGGGUGCCCGGCCACACUGGGACUGAGACACGGCCCAGACUCCUACGGGAGGCAGCAGUGGGGAAGAUUGCACAAUGGGCGCAAGCCUGAUGCAGCAGCGCCGCGUGAGGGAUGACGGCCUUCGGGUUGUAAACCUCUUUUAGUAGGGAAGAAGCGAGAGUGACGGUACCUGCAGAAAAAGCACCGGCUAACUACGUGCCAGCCGCCGCAGUAA